AUUGAACGCUGGCGGCAGGCUUAACACAUGCAAGUCGAGCGAGCGGCGGACGGGUGAGUAAUGUCUGGGAAACUGCCUGAUGGCGGGGGAUAACUACUGGAAACGGUAGCUCAUACCGCAUCCCAUCGGAUGUCCCCAGAUGGGAUUAGCUAGUAGGUGGGGUAAAGGCUCACCUAGGCGCAGAUCCCUAGCUGGUCUGAGAGGAUGACCAGCCACACUGGAACUUAGACACGGUCCAGACUCCUACGGGAGGCAGCAGUGGGGAAUAUUGCACAAUGGGCGCAAGCCUGAUGCAGCCAUGCCGCGUGUGUGAAGAAGGCCUUCGGGUUGUAAAGCACUUGCAGCGAGGAGGCGUUACUCGCAGAAGAAGCACCGGCUAACUCCGUGCCAGCAGCCGCGGUAAUUC
rnacentral:rRNA from 1 species